rnacentral:rRNA from 1 species
GGGCCCGCACAAGCAGCGGAGCAUGUGGUUUAAUUCGAAGCAACGCGAAGAACCUUACCAGGUCUUGACAUCCAGUAAAAGCAUCUGAGAGGAUGUGUGCCUUCGGGCAUACUGAGACAGGUGGUGCAUGGUUGUCGUCAGCUCGUGUCGUGAGAUGUUGGGUUAAGUCCCGCAACGAGCGCAACCCUUGUGAAUAGUUACUAACGGGAAAGCCGAGGACUCUAUUCAGACUGCCGGGGACAACUCGGAGGAAGGUGGGGAUGACGUCAAAUCAUCAUGCCCCUUAUGACCUGGGCUACACACGUGCUACAAUGGGCGCAACAAAGAGGAGCGAGGCCGCAAGGCGGAGCAGAUCUCAAAAAAGCGUCCUCAGUUCAGAUUGUGGGCUGCAACCCGCCCACAUGAAGUCGGAGUUGCUAGUAAUCGCGGAUCAGCAUGCCGCGGUGAAUGCGUUCCCGGGCCUU